rnacentral:rRNA from 1 species
UACGUAGGGUGCGAGCGUUAAUCGGAAUUACUGGGCGUAAAGCGUGCGCAGGCGGUUCGUUGUGUCGGCGGUGAAAGCCCCGGGCUCAACCUGGGAAUGGCCGUUGAAACUGGCGAACUGGAGUGUGGCAGAGGGGGGUGGAAUUCCGCGUGUAGCAGUGAAAUGCGUAGAGAUGCGGAGGAACACCGAUGGCGAAGGCGGCUCACUGGCCCGAUACUGACGCUGAGGCACGAAAGCGUGGGGAGCAAACAGG